rnacentral:rRNA from 1 species
AUGAAGUCUAUUGUCCACUCGUUUAUGUUUCUUUCCCCUUUCUCUUCUUCAAGCAGGGAGAGACAAGGAGCAGCACCGCAACGGAGGAGGGGACGACUUGUCGGUCGUGCCUAUAGUGAAGCUCCGCCGUGGCUGCAUCGUAGCAUUCCCGUGCUGCAUAGCAGCUCCCCCGUCGUCACCGCGCUGCAUCGCGAACUUCUACCAUGGCCGCCGCGUGCUGCAUCGCACCACCCGUCGCCAUCGUCGCUGCGUCGCACCACCCAUCGCCACCGACGCUGCAUUGCAGCAUCCCGCGCCGCAUCGCAGCUCCUGCCAUGGCCGUCUUGUGUUGCGUUGCAACACCCGUCGCCGUCGGCGAUGCAUCACAGCAUCCGCCGUCGUCGCCGGCGCUACAUUGCAGCUCCCGCCAUGGCCGCCGCGUGCUGA